UGUUGGUACUAUACAAAUCUUUACGUUUACCCUAUAUGGACAGAAGGAUGGGAUCGCCUACAAAUUUCCCCUAGACAAGCUGCUUGGCUACAGAAAUAUAGGCCAUGAAGCUCCUGGAGCACAGCGGUUGUGCUGAUGUUAAUGCUAGAGUAGCGUUGGAGGUGGUUUCUGAACACUUCUACUUUGCAGUAACACCACUCACUUUAGAUCAAUUCAUUCUUUUAGAAAUGUUUCUAAAGGCAAGGUUCACAGUCAGGUGCUUGAUUUUAUAUACCUGUGGCAAUGAGACUAAAACACCGGAAAUUAAUGAUUAAGGGCCAAAUUUGUUAAAUGGGUCAAAAUAGCAAGUAAACUCUCAUAGUUUUGUGGAGUUUCCUACACACAGACCCCAUCAGUUAAUUUUAAUAUCAAGUGCCAAAAAAGAUACAUUUUUUCUGUGUUAAAUUUCGACACAAUUAGCAGUAAAUUGCGUGCCACAAACGUCAGAAAAUCACUUUGCAUGCUUGAUUUAAUACCGCUCUUCCUAUAUUUUUCACCUUGAGAAAGGAACUUGUAAAAAUCUCUGACUUCCCUCAUACACACAAUCUUGUCACUACGCUCUCUUUGUAAAUAGCGACAGUAGGCUUCUUUCGUUACUCAAAAACCCAAUUUGCCCUGGUGCCACAUGUUAGUAAUUACUUUUGCACAUGUAGUGAAACCAGGCACUGCAUCCAGUUCUGUGUACCCAUCAGAGACAUUUUUACACUUUCCUCAAUCUCUUUCCACCUCCUCUCAGCCUGUACAUCCUCACCUUGACUUUAUUCUGAAAUCUUAGUUUAAUUUGUAUCAUUACUGAGAGCGCAGUCCUUCUUAAGAUCCUGAUUAGGUAGUGCAGGUUGCUCAUCGACUUCCCUCCAGUUUCCAAGCUGCGUUAUUAGCCUCACAUCUGAUGAUAUCGGAAACAUUAAAAAUAAAAAGUUUGGGGACUUCACAACAUCAUCAGUGAACCCAAAAGUCACGACUGUGAAUCAAGUCUUCAUCCUACUGAUUUUAAUAACAGGCUUUAGUCCUGAUAAUAAAGUCAGACAGUCCUGACCUGAUUACCCCGAUGAAAUUAAAAAUUUAAUUGCAUAAAUUUUUCAGCUGAUGGACUCGAGCAGGCAUUGCAGCACAAAUCUAUUACUAGCAGAUUCUCGGCUUGAUGCCAUGAGGUAACAAAUGACUCCCAUUUGGGGCGUCGGCCGAUGAAGCUGCAGCACAGGUCUUCAGUCUCCAUCAGAACAAGUGAUCGGGGGGGGGGUCUUUGUUCGUGACACCAUACAGCUAUUCUGUGUGCUUUGUUUCUUACAGCAGCACAGCGAGGCUGCCAGUGUAGUGUCAGCCCACUCUGUGAUCAGCUUUUCAAUGAACGUGACACACAGAAACUGCACUUAUGCCUGCUGCUGCAUUUUCAAAGACUCCCAAGCCACUAAAAUACCUGUAAAGCUACUUGGAUAUCAGGCAUAAACACCGAUCCUGCUCAAAGCAACCAGAGGGGACAAACAUCUAAAGAUAAGUGACAUGGCAAAAAAGAACAUUUUUAUUUAUUUUAACUUGAUGUCACCCUUAAAUGUUGUUUUGUUUUGUUGCAUCCCAGAAAGACACCCAUGGCCUUUAAGUGAACUGCAGUCAGUGUUACUUGCAUUUGCUUGUGAGCAUCAGAUAAAACAGUUAGGCCUGCACUGUUGUAUGCAGUGUAUGCCAUUCAUUUAGCUGAGCAUAUAUACUUGUGUAUAAGCUUGGUGUUUUUAGUCAAAUGCGAUACAAAUGUUUGAUAUAACUGUCAAUUUGACAGAAUUUGACAAACUAGUUAACCACAAUUUACACUCAAAUAUGAGCUUUGCAAUAAUGUGGGCAGGCAAGCAAACUGAAAUUAGCAAUUUUGAUCCCCAAAACCAAACAAAUGUCUCUCCAUGAAUCAAACACCCUGCUUGUGAUCAGCCUAGUUUUUCCUCAGCAACAGACAUAUUUGGUUUAGGUCAAAAUGACUUCAUUAGAUUAAAUCUGGCUGCCUUGUGACCUGUUAUCACCUGGCACAUGCGCCAGGUGUUACUAGGGUCACAAAAGAAAGCUUCCCAGCAUGGGGAUGAUUUGCUGCUCUUCCUGUUCUAAGCGCAGCCUCAUCACCAGACUUGAAAGCGGUAUUCCGGUACUUUUAGCUUUUCACUUACCUCCUGCAUCAUCCAUGUUUUUUCAUUUGCCCAGGUGGAGAUGUUCUUCAUGACAUAGACGUCCUCUGUGCUGCAUGAAAUAUAGCAGCAGGCUGAUGAACCUCGGCUUGAGUUGUAAAAUGUGUGGAGUUGCUUUGUUUAUUUAGCACACGCUCUGUUAAAGCCACAGUGAGUGGAUAAAAAGUGGUAGCAAGUACGCACCAAUGUUCGCCCACAUGCUUGCAUUUAUACUGAAAGGUCAGGCCUUUUUUUUAUUCCUUAAUGAGUUCCCACAUUUCCCCCCCCCAAAGGAUUUCUUCAGUGGCUAACACUGAGCACUGCUUAUAUCAGAGAGCCAGUAUUUGUUGUACUCAACAUCAAAUCACAAUAAGUUUUGUGCAGCUCCACCAAGUUAGUACAACGUCAAUGAAUUUUCCUCGCUCCAGGCUACAAAGGAGUAAAACCACAGAAAAUUAAAGAAUGAGAUGUGAUUUGUGUUUUUUUUCCUUUACUCCAUUAACUUGGUGAAGUGAGAAUGUCAUCGCUUGAGGAGAAAAGGUGGAGGGACGCCUUUAACCUGAAGGUGUAAUUUUCUGACUGACAUUUUGCAAAAUCUUUCAGAGUGACUGCAGGUUGACCUCACAGCUUCUUCUUUUUAAAUUUUUCAUUUAUUAUUUUUGUUUUGCCUUUUUUUUUUGCCCUUUUUGUCUUUUGAUGCUGCCUUCUCAAAUUGCUUACCAGACGGUCUGAUUUACGGGGUGUACCAGCGCACGGACAAUAAAGAACGAAUUGUUCUUCAGAACAGCCAGACUUAACGAGGGCUUGCGAUUUAAUACAAGGAUAACUGCCCAGUGAAAGACCCGACAAAGUGAUGAGGUAAAUGUGAGAAGAACGCUAAAAGAGAGAAAGUUCAGAUCCUUUGUACUUUUUCACCUUUACCGGUAAAGUGCCUGUAAAUGACAAUAAUAACCUACAAAGGGCACAGAGUACACAGUGUUUGACACUUCUCCCACAUACUCGGGAGUAAAAGUCGUGAUUUCUCAACUUCUCAACUCAAUUCGAGCUCCUGCUUUUUGUAGUCUGUGAGCUUCUAAACUGCCGGAGUGCUCUUUCAACAUCGGGAAUUUUUUUCAUCCAGAAAAAACGAAAACAGUGUUUAGCUGCCUCCCUUCUGCGACUGUAUCAGGUGGCUUUUAAUGAGUAAAAACCAGAACAUGGGUUAAAAAACUUUUCAGAUUCCUGCAGAGAAAAAAAACCCUCGAGAUGAUGAUUCCUUCAGCUUCGUGACUUGGACAACAUGGGUGACCAGAUCAGCAUAGAUGUCCACAAAACAUUUCUCCCACCUGCACAUUGACUAGCACUGCGGGUCCUGGGAUUGAUCUAAAUCUAAAUUGGCUGUCGCUCUUUGAUGGACUUGUGACCUCUCCAGGGUGUACCUCACCUCACAACCCAAGACAGCUGGCAUAGGUUCAAGCCCCCCGUGACACUCAAUGGAUAAUCUUUAAGAAAAUUAAAGGAUGGAUAAAUUAA